ACACAACUCCUGAUCAAUUCACACCACAACUCCAAACCACACAAACACAAAACACCAUCUAACCUCAUACCUCAUACCUCCUCAUGCACACCCUCAGCCCAGCCACGCCCACCAAGCGCACCUCAGCCAACCUGUGCUACCCCGAGCUCAGACCAUUCUUCACGAUGCCAUUGCAUCGAUCUUCCCCACCGUUGACCUCUUUCUCUAGAAUUUCACCAAUCCGAAGGUUGAGGGUUUUGAGAAGUUGUGACCUUAUUCUGCUGAUCUAUACUUGUGACCAUAGUUUUUCUUGAGGGCUUUGUUGUUGUUGAUGUUUGUGAAUGGAUUGGUGUAGUUAAUUUCUAAGAACAUGUUUCGGAGUUCUUCAUUUUUGCCAAACCAUGUGUAGCUGUGUUGGGUGUUUGUUUUUGGAUUAUGUUUGGGAUUUAAUGCUUUGGUGGGAUUUGUGUGAUGAAAAUGUUCUGUUUGGUGGGAUCUCUGAUCUAUAGGUGUGACCAUAGUCGUAAUCAAGUGCACCCAUGUAUAUGAGCAUAAAGUGUGCUAUUAUUUGCAAGAAAAUGUAAAGUUACAGAGUGGUUGAGUGUAUUACAGAGUUAUCAUUAAUAGUUAAACAAAUGUAGUUGCAACAAUUGAACUCAAAAGUCCAUAAUUUUCCAACAUUGACAAUGAAUAAAGAGUUAAACUUAACAAUUGGCCUGUGAGAUCAAAGCAAACAGAAAUCUAUGAAAUUGUGAGUUUAUAUUCAAGGCUCCUAAUGUGUUACAAGAAUUUCAACAAUUAUACCCCCAUUUUGUAAAUCAUCAAAGCUAUUUUUGAAAGCAUCAACCCUUACUUAAGGAGUUUAUACAAUUGUUAUAAUACAUUUUACAUGCUCCCAAUUGAUAUAGUUUUUGGUUUUGGUUUGAAGAGUCCCAAUUGAUAUAGUCCUAAAUUUUCCUAGAAAUUCCUCUUUUUGACCUUUUGUGAGUUAAGAUGUUAACAUAGAACCUAUAAGUGUAAGGGUGUAAGAGAUCAAAUAUUACUGACAUUGUGCUAGUAACUUCUUUUUUAGUUAUGUUUUCUUCUUUCUUUUUUAAUUACUAGUACGUACGUGACUAUUUGGUUGCAGCUUAAUGAGGGCCUUGUGCAUGAUUUGCUUUGUUUCCAUUUUCACGUUCUACUUAGAAUCUUCUUUUUGAUGGCAUGGCAUAGGUUGUUGUUAAGGUUUAUGAGUUUUGUAAAUGUGAAUUGGUAUUUCCAGUAGGCUCCAACUUCUUAUGCAUGCAGUAUGUUGGUAUUAUAUUUGAAAUAUGGGUCAUAUGCUAAAUAAUUGUUCCUCUAAUAGUACUAGGAUUUUACAUGUUGUAAUUGUAAUAUUUGCAUAUGAGUAUGUGUGUAUUGUUGUUUAAGAUGGCUGCAGACUUGAGGAGGUGGGAUGAGGACAGUGUUGAUGAGUUAUGUGACCUAGUGUUUGGCCAAUUUAUGCUUGGCAAUUUGUAUCGGCAUUCCACCAAUGACCAUGUUUGAAAGGUGAUCACACACACUCUCAAUACCCGAACUGGGAAGGCGUUUAGCAAGAGGCAAGUGAUUCGGAAGUUUGCUUCACUCCGAAGGUGGUAUCGCGCAGUGAUUGGUGUUCGUAGGGCAAUCGUCAAACAACAAACUUACGCAAACAGGGAUGUCCAGCCUAUGACAAGUUGCAGCAAUUGUUUGCCCCCAGUACUACAACUGGGAACCUGCAAAUCUCUUCAAACACUCCUACCUUGAACAGUGAUGAAGAGCGUGCCCUGGAGAAAGAACUUGCAAAUGAUGGUGUGCCCACCCAUCUGGAUGAUGACUAUUACAGUCCAAACCUGGACAGUGUCCAUCAGACUGUGGAGGAUGUUGAUAUUGAUAGUGAGCACCAAACCCAAAGGCCUGAAAAACGUCUAAUGCAAGAUGCAAGUGCCAAGGGUAAGAAGGCAUUAAAGAAAGCGGAUAGAGUAAGUGACAUGAUUAUGGCCCUAAAGGAGUACACCACAAUGGCAAGGGAGAGGUUUAGUGGUAAAUAGGGCAAAUCAAGCGGUACCUCUGAACAAUUUGCUCAAUCCACAGUUAGAGGUGAUCCUUGUUCACUCGACAAGGCAAUUGAGCUGCUUAAUAAGUACAAGGAUCUUGGGAACAAGGCAUAUGUAAAGAUCUCAAAGGCUCUGCAACAAAAGGAUAACAGGGUAGUGUUCAUAGGCAUGCCAGAGCAUAGGAGGAAGACAUGGAUGGAGGACAUUAUUAGCCCAGAGGAGGAUUGACUUUUGUGUUAAUGCAAUGAUGUAGUAAUUGGUUAUUAUGGUGUUGGAUUUUUUUUAUGGGUAACUAUUGGAUGUUUGAAAAACUAUGGAUGAGUGUUGGUUUGUUUUAAAAACAAUGGAUUACUAUUAGCUUUGUUUUAAUUUUCCUAGUAACGAUGU